AUAUCGUGAUGUGUACAAUUUCUUAUUAGUAAUUUGAAGCGUUCCCAAGCUUCAUACAAAUUCUCUCCCUCUAUUUGUUUAAAGUUUGCAUUUUUGCAUCU
rfam:Gossypium raimondii Chr03_contig_486, whole genome shotgun sequence.